rnacentral:rRNA from 1 species
CCUACGGGAGGCAGCAGUGGGGAAUUUUGGACAAUGGGCGCAAGCCUGAUCCAGCAAUGCCGCGUGAGUGAAGAAGGCCUUCGGGUUGUAAAGCUCUUUUGUCAGGGAAGAAACGGUGCGGGCUAAUAUCCCGUGCUAAUGACGGUACCUGAAGAAUAAGCACCGGCUAACUACGUGCCAGCAGCCGCGGUAAUACGUAGGGUGCAAGCGUUAAUCGGAAUUACUGGGCGUAAAGCGUGCGCAGGCGGUUUUGUAAGUCUGACGUGAAAUCCCCGGGCUCAACCUGGGAAUUGCGUUGGAGACUGCAAGGCUAGAAUCUGGCAGAGGGGGGUAGAAUUCCACGUGUAGCAGUGAAAUGCGUAGAGAUGUGGAGGAACACCGAUGGCGAAGGCAGCCCCCUGGGUCAAGAUUGACGCUCAUGCACGAAAGCGUGGGGAGCAAACAGGAUUAGAUACCCUGGUAGUCCACGCCCUAAACGAUGUCUACUAGUUGUCGGGUUUUAAUUAACUUGGUAACGCAGCUAACGCGUGAAGUAGACCGCCUGGGGAGUACGGUCGCAAGAUUAAAACUUAAAGGAAUUGACGG